CAAAAUCGUACAAUGCGAGGCGACAUAUGUCGACCUAGGCGAUCUUGCUGAGUUUGUGAGGCCUAGUGGUAAAAUCGUCGAAGAAUGUAGUUGCGCGUGGGAUUGACUUCAUGAACAAGCAUGUGGACAUUUGUUCCGACAAGACGAUCAUGCAGUACAACGUGACCUGCAAAAUUUGGGAUGGUGACUUCCACUAUAAAAUCCCGAGGAAGCAUUUUGCCGCACAUGGUGAUUUUAAGCUCACACUGAAGAAAUACGUCAUGUUCCCCAUGUUCCAGGAGCUUGCACCAGAAGACCCAAAUGACAUGUGUGGUCACCACUACUCCAUUUGCCUUGACCUGAAGAACCAACGUUUUUAGGUGUUUGAUUCAAUCCGUUCAGGAGCUGAUGAAGACCUUACUACUCAUGCUGAAUUCUUUAUCAACAACCUGAAAGAGACCUGGAACCGUCAUUACGAAAACUCAAAGGAUCAGAUCAGUCACUUUCCAAUUGAGUACGUCACGACUGAGAAGCAAGAAAAUGAGCAUGAUUGCGGGUUUUACAUGUUGGAAUACCUUGCAAAGUGGGAAGGUCGACGGGUCCCAGUGAUCACAGCUGCAAUGGUUGUCGAGCUCCAGAAAAUGCCAUGUAUGCACAACUAUUGCAGCUGAAUGAAGAUUUCAACAAGCGGGCUUCAGCACAACAAUUUAUAGAGGGAGCUGUCAAAUCCGCAAACAAGAAGUACAAGUGAUUGCGUGAAUCUUCAUACACAUGCCUACCUUACAUUCUGUGGCUGAGGAACGUAAGGUUCUGAAUCGGAAAUGCCCAUGAGAGUACACACCUUGAAGCAUCGGUGACUUGCUCGUGGAAUGCUCCUUCAAUGUGCUCUGAGGUUCUCGCAGUAGAUGUUCCUACGCCGCUGUUGAUUGUAGCUGAAGCUCCUGCAAAAAAUCAGGUACGCGUGUAAGCAGUAUUGCUUGAAUGGCAUAUUCGCCGUAAUGAAAUGAUAGCAGCUGCAUCCGAUUUGUUCAUGGCAACUGCAUCUGAAAUAUGGUACACAACUACAGCUGCAUAAUUUACAUGUAUAAAGUGCUGGAAUGUGCAACUUUGAA